rnacentral:rRNA from 1 species
AUUGAACGCUGGCGGCAGGCCUAACACAUGCAAGUCGAACGAGUGGCGGACGGGUGAGUAAUGUCUGGGAAACUGCCUGAUGGAGGGGGAUAACUACUGGAAACGGUAGCUAAUACCGCAUACCAUCGGAUGUGCCCAGAUGGGAUUAGCUAGUAGGUGGGGUAAAGGCUCACCUAGGCGACGAUCCCUAGCUGGUCUGAGAGGAUGACCAGCCGCACUGGAACGGAGACAAGGUCCAGACGCCGACGGGAGGCAGCAGUGGGGAAUAUGGCACAAUGGGGGCAAGCAUGAUGCAGCCAUGCCGCGUGUAUGAAGAAGGCCUUGGGGUUGUAAAGUACUUUCAGCGGGGAGGCGUUACCCGCAGAAGAAGCACCGGCUAACGCCGUGCCAGCAGCCGCGGUAAUUC